rnacentral:tRNA from 1 species
GUCUUCGUAGCUCAGUUGGUUAGAGCGUCUGACUGUUACUCUCUGGGAUAACAAAAAGUCAGCCUAUCUCUUCCUUAGUGGGGAGGUUGUGCUCCACGACAUGUGGCACAUCAGGAGGUCGACAGUUCGAACCUGUCCGAGGACG